AUCCCAAACAUGAAGUAGAGUAGAUUAGAAGGAUCUCUUGACCCUACUAAACUACUCUACUUCGAGUUUGUGCCC
rfam:Haemonchus placei strain MHpl1 genome assembly, scaffold: HPLM_scaffold0003445